UUUACUUUGGCUCAGGGAUCUCCCUCAGGUAGGUGUUAGGUAAGAAUUAGGCAUGCAGCCGAAAGCAAGUGGUAGUCUCCAUCUAAAGCUAAAUAUAUGUGCGAGACCGACAGCCAAAAAGUACCAUAAGAGAAAGUUGAAAAGAACUUUGAAGAGAAAAUUCAAGCGGGCAUGAAACCAUCGAGAGAUAAAUGGGUGUGGUCCAAGCAGUCCUACCAGAGAAUUCAACACAGUGGGCAGGUUGGUUGCCCGGAACGAAAAAUCUCCUUGCAGGACCGCCACCCGGGCACAUUCGUCCCCCACAGGGCGCAUUUCCACAGUGGCGGUGCACCGCGACCAGCUCCGGAUCGGCUAGGAUGGCCCCGUGCAAUAGGUGGCUCUCCACUCCGGUAGUGAGUGUUACAGCCCCCUGACUGCAGUUUUGCCAUGUCUGCGGGGCAAAGGGAGAUUGGCCACUGGCAUGCCCUCCUCCAGCAACAGUCCCGGCCCCUCUUGGGGGCCACAGGGGGAGCGACGGGGGAUGGGCCCCCUGCUCCCAGAGUGACUGUCAACGGGGGUGGUCUGUCCUCAGUGUUCCACUACCGCAUCAAACUACCGGGCAGGGAGGCCCCGAAGGGCACCAGGGGUCUGCAGUGAUGUUGAUUACCCUCCCGACCAUCUUGAAACAAGGACCAAGGAGUUUUUCAUGUGCGCAAGUCGGAGUGCAAACCUAACCCUAUGACACAAUGAAAGCCUGGGCCGGCGCUCGCUGGCUGAGGUGGGAUCCCAUUGCACUGUCAUGGCGAGGCACACUACCGACCCUUCUAUGACCCGCUCUGUUGAGGAAGUGGAGCACGAGCGUAUGUGUUAGAACCCAAAAGAUUGCGAACUAUGCCUGGGCAGGGGAAAGUCAGAGGGAGCUUUGGUGGAGGACCAUAGCGGUCCAGACAUGCAAAUUGGUCAUCCGACCUGGGUACAGGGGCAAAAGACUAAUCAAACCAUCUAGUAGCUGGUUCCCACCCAAGUUUCCCUCAGGAUAGCUGGCACUUGGAUACCCUACUUUUAUCUGGUAAAGCAAAUGAUUAGAGGUCUUGGGGCCAAAACAAUGUCAACCUAUUCUCAAACUUUAUAUAGGUAAGAAACCUGGCUCGCUGGCAUGGAUCCGGGUAUCAAAUGCCAGUGCCCAGUGUGCCACUUUUGCUAAGCAGAACGGGCGCAGUGGAAUGAACCGAAUACCAGGUUAAGGCGCACGAUGACGUCGAUCAUCAGACCCCAGAAAAGGUGUUGUUUGAUACAGACAGCAGAACUAUAGCCAUAGAAGUCAGAAUCUGCUAAGGCGUGUGUAACAAUUUACCUGCUGAAUCAAUAGCCCUUGCAAUGGAUGGUGGCGGGUCAGGCCCAUACAUGGGUGUCGCAUUGCCUGCGCUGAGAGCAGUGGGGGCUAAGCCGUGAGGAGUAGGAAGGGAAGCUGCGGUGCAUAUGGUAGACCGGGGCGAGUGCCCUGAUAGAGCUGCCAGGGGUGCAGAUCCUAGAGGUAGUAGCAAAUAUUCAGACAGGAACUUUGAAGGCCGUAAUGGAGGUGGAUACCAUGUCAAUAGCCUUUGAACAUAAUAUGAUAUGAUAUGAUAUGAUAUGAUAUGAUAUGAUAUGGCAUUUAUAACGUGCCUAUACACAAGUGUUUCAAGUAAUUACUAACAGAUGGGUGAGCGCUGUUCAGAAGGUACAGGCAAUGGCCUCCAUUGCCCUCAGCCAAUCGAAAGGAAGUUGGGUUCAGAUCCCUGAACCCAGAGUGCCGGAGAUGGGUGCCCUUGUGGCAUCCAUUGCAGUAACGCAAACAUACCAGGAUAAGCCGGUGUGUGUCCUGGGGAAAGUUCAAUUUUCUGUGAAGGGCAGAGCACCCUGGAAUGGGUUUGCCCUGAGAAAGGCACUCAAGCCUUGGAAACCAUUGCUGUUCCAGCAGCAUUCCCAUGAACUCUCGCUGGUCCUUAUUAGCCCAGGGGAGAAGUUGUAAAGCUCACGUCAGGCCAUAUCCAUAUCCACAGCAGGUCUCCAAGGUGAACAGCCUCCGGCAUGUUGGAGCAAUGUAGGUAAACUUUGGGAUGAGAAUUGGCUCUAAGCUGGGCAGGUCAGGCUAGUGUGCAAAAGCAGGGCUGGGCACACACCGCGGCUGGACAAGCAUUACCCCACCCCUUGUGGGCCCUGCAAACUCUGAAUGUGAGCCGGGCCCUUCCUGUGGAUCGCCCAAGCUGGGGUGGUCGCCUAUCUCUGUUCCCCUCCGGGGGUUUGGGGCUGGCGUUCUGCCUUGCUGACACCUAGCAGCUGAUUUAGAACUGGUGCAGACCCGGGAAUCCAAUUGUUUAAUUGAAACAAGGCACCACAAAGGUCCGCGGUUGGUGUUGAAAUUAUGUGAUUUCUUCCCAGUGCUCUGAAAGUCAAAGUGAAGAAAUAGAAUGAAGCGUGGGUAAUCAGCAGGAGUAACUAUGACUCUCUUAAGGUGGACAAAUGCCUUGUCAGGUAAUUAGUGGCACACAUGAAUUGAUGAACGGGAUUCCCACUAUCCCUACCUACUAUCUAGCGAAGCCACAGGCAAGGGAAUGGGCUUGGUAGAAUCAGCGAGGAUAGGAGACCCUGUUGAGCUUGACUCUAGUCUGGCACUGUGUGGAGACAUGAGAGGUGUAGGAUAGCUGGGAGGCCCUUGGACCUGCAGUAAAAUACCAGUAGUUAUAAUUUCUUCACUUGCACAGUGAGCUGGAAGUGCGAGCCCCAUGUGGUUGUUGCUUCUGGCUUAAAGCACCCGGCUACAGCAAAGCUCUACCCGCUCAGGGGACAUUGGCAGGUGGGGAGGUUGACUUGGGCAAAACACCUGUCAAACGGUAAUGCAUGUGUCCUAAGGUAAGCUCAGGGAGGACAGAAACCACCUGCAGAGCCAAAGGGCAAAACCUUGAUGACUCUCAAUUUUUAGUAUGAAUACAGACCAUGAAGGUGGGGCCGCAUGAUCCUUUUCACUUUUUGGGUUUCACGAUGGAGCUGUCCGAAAAUUACACAGGGAUAAUUGUUUUAUGGCGGCCAAGCCUUCAUAGCGACAUCGCAAUUCGAUCCUUCCAUGUCGGUUCUUCCUAGCAGCAGAAUUCACCAAAUGUUGGAUUGUUCACCCACUAAUAGGGAAUGUGAGCUGGGUUUAGACCGAUGUGUGACAGGUUACUUUUACCCUACUGAUGAUGUAUUCUUGCAAUAGUAAUCCUACUCAGAACGAAAGGAACCAUAUUGUUCAGUCAUUUGGUGUAUGUGCUUGACUCAGUAGCCAAUGGGAUGAAGCUGCCAUCUGUGGAAUUGUGGUGGAACGCCUCUAAGACAGUAUCCCCCUACACCGUAAUGGUACCACAGCAUUGUGGAGCCUCAGUUGGUCUAGGAUAGCCGACCUCUGGGCCGGUGCAUAGAGCUGCUUGCCUCAAAUUCUGAGUGUGGGCAGAAGGGGGAACCCUCUUUUGCCUGUAGUGCACCACAUGUUCGUGGGACAUGUGGUGCAAAAGUCAUGGGUCAGGGUUUCAUAAGUAGCCGAGCAUCUACCUUGCUGUGAUCA
rnacentral:rRNA from 1 species